rnacentral:lncRNA from 1 species
GGGGAAAAGAAAUAACCUGUUGAUCGUGGGUGUAAUUAUGGGACGAAUUGAAAAUGAAAUGUGGGGUUUACAGCAGCCCAGUCUUUGGCUCUGUCCACCAGGACACAAGAGGUAGCCAGAGUCCUGACCUACCAGGGAUGCUCAGUGUUCUGAAGGAUGUCGUGGUGAAAGAUCUGACAAGGCCACCCAGUCCUCCACUUUAAGCAAUUCAUUUUGUAAAAAACAAAACAAACAAACAAACAACAAACCCCGAGAAAAAACUAAGGACACAGGCAUAAGUAUAGAUGUGUGUGACAGGCCAUUGAAGUCAACUGAGUUGACGUCAUCGGAAAUGGGAAGCCACACUGGGACCGAUAGUGCUGCUAAAGAAUUAAUGGAGAACCCAGAAUAACUUCUCAGAUAGUAAGGGGAACACUAGGGCAGACACCAUCAAAGUGUCCCCAGAGAGAAAGAAAAAGACAAAGGACAGAGAUCAGAAAGACACUGAGAUCAAUGACCAGGUUAAAAACCAAGCCAUACACAGACGGAUGGUGACCAAGAAAAGGUCGCCUUAACCUCUUUACACAUCCCUCGCUUUCCUCCUGCAGUUUUGAUACAAAGGGAUCUGGGUUUGAGGGUCUCAGAAGUCCUCUAGGACGGCUCAGAACACACCAUGAAAGUGGGUGUUGAAAAUGGCUCUCCCUGAAUCCAGCUUUCUCUUUCCUCUUCAGUUGUUGCCAUUUGAGGAUGCCAAGAGACUGCUGUGUGCCCUCCUAGGCUCCCUGCACAUCCACCGGCUUCACAAACUCCUGGGGAUUAGCUGAUCCAAACCACCCUAGUGUGAAAAUCCUGGUGGCAUAUAGUCUCAACCCUUCCUACUCCGAAAGGCAGAGAGACAAGUCUGCCUACAGCUCUGAUACCCAUGUGCUCCUGCCAGAAGGCACCGUCACUCUGUCUUCUGUGUUUGACCUGAGGUGUCCCGGUUCCAACCACUCACAUUCGUGCCUCCUCUCAAGUUCCACAGACUGUAUUUCCAGCAGAAAUCCCUGCCUGCGAGCAUGGAUCAGACUCGGUGUCAGAAAUAGAUUUUCUCCGAUUUCCUCUGCAAGUAUGGAAGUUGUUCUUUUUUCAAAGGCAGAGUAGGUGCUUACGGGGAUUAGGCUUGGGGCAUGAUGGGUUCAGCCAGGGUAAUACGGCGUAAAAUGCAACUUGACCCACGGAGUAACUUGGACUCCAGAAUCUCACCCCCCCCUUCUGAAGGUCAAACUCUUGUGUGUGUGUGUGUGUGUGUGUGUGUGUGUGUGUGUGUAUUACAUCUAACCACACAUAAGGACAUAUAAGAUACACUAAAAACCUUAGGGAAAGUAUUAUGAUCAUUUGAAAACUCAAAAACAAGAACUUUUUAAAACUGUAGUCUCUGACGCUUUUGCUAGCUUGUAGGACCCUUCUCCUACUGGGCUGCCCCGUGUCCAGCUUUGAUGUGAUGGUGUUGUUGUGCCUGCUCUUAUCGUUGCUUGCUGCUAUGCUAGCAAGCUGUGCUAUGCUAUGCUUGUGUUUGGUUGAUGUUCCUGGGAGGCCUGCUCUUCUCUGAGAGGAGGAGGGUGGUGGAUCUAGGGGAGAGAGAAGGGAAGGGAGAGAUUGGCAGCAGGGAAGGGAGGGAGGGGAAACUGCAGUCUGGAAGGAUAUAAUAUAUGAGAAGAGAAUUAAAUAAAUAAGUAAAUAAAUAAAUAAAUGGAGAACUACAUUAAUAAAUCAGAAUAUGGGGUUCAAAACCAAAAGAAGGAAGUUUUGUUGUCGUUGUUGUUGCUUGGGGUUUUGUUUUGUUUUGCUUUUAGAAUAAGAAACUCCAAGGAGCAGAUGGGAAGGGACAGAGAAGAGUAUUUUUGAUGACUUUAGUACGCAUCCAUUUGAAACUCCCAG